rnacentral:misc_RNA from 1 species
UUAACUAUUGUAUAGUACUCAGACGACACUGUACACAGGGUUUGGGUCCUCUGGCGGGCGCGUACCAGCGCGAAGCCGGUAGCCUGACAGGCGGCCCGCCAAAGCAACAGAGUGUGUAUUCAAGGGUGGAGAUCUACCCGUGAGGGCAUGAACUCUGUAAUGAUCCUUCCGCAGGUUCACCUACGGAAA